AGCCCCUGCUCUUCCUCUUCCUGUAAGCGGCCAGAGGUGACCUGUGAAAAUGGUUCGCUACUCUCUAGAUCCAGAAAACCCCACAAAAUCAUGCAAGUCAAGAGGUUCCAAUCUUCGUGUACACUUUAAGAACACCAGAGAAACAGCCCAAGCCAUCAAGGGUAUGCAUAUCCGAAAAGCGACCAAGUAUCUGAAAGAUGUCACGUUAAAGAAGCAAUGUGUGCCAUUCCGGCAUUACAAUGGUGGAGUUGGCAGGUGUGCCCAGGCCAAACAGUGGGGCUGGACUCAGGGUCGGUGGCCCAAAAAGAGUGCUGAAUUUUUGUUGCACAUGCUUAAGAAUGCAGAGAGUAAUGCAGAACUGAAGGGUUUAGAUGUAGACUCCCUGGUCAUUGAACACAUCCAGGUAAACAAAGCACCUAAGAUGCGCCGCCGAACUUACAGAGCCCAUGGUAGGAUUAACCCAUCCGUGAGCUCCCCCUGCUACAUUGAGAUGAUCCUUACUGAGAAGGAGCAAAUUGUUCCUAAACCAGAGGAGGAGGUUGCACAGAAGAAAAAGGUAUCCCAGAAGAAACUGAAGAAACAAAAACUUAUGGCACGGGAAUAAAUUUAGCAUAAAAUAAACGCAAAUAAAUCAAUGUUGGUUAUCGUUA